UACGAGGGGGGCAAGCGUUGUUCGGAAUUAUUGGGCGUAAAGGGCGCGUAGGCGGUGCGGUAAGUCUGAUGUGAAAUCUCCGAGCUCAACUCGGAGUCUGCAUCAGAAACUGCCGUGCUCGAGUGUGGGAGAGGUGAGUGGAAUUCCCGGUGUAGCGGUGAAAUGCGUAGAUAUCGGGGGGGAACACCUGUGGCGAAAGCGGCUCACUGGACCACAACUGACGCUGAGGCGCGAAAGCUAGGGGAGCAAACAGG
rnacentral:rRNA from 1 species